rnacentral:tRNA from 1 species
GGUGGCUCAGUGGUAGAGCGCUUGCCUUGCAUGCCAGAAGCCCUAGGUUCAAUUCCUCAGCACCA